rnacentral:rRNA from 1 species
UACGUAGGGUCCGAGCGUUGUCCGGAAUUACUGGGCGUAAAGAGCUCGUAGGUGGUUUGUCGCGUUGUUCGUGAAAACUCACAGCUCAACUGUGGGCGUGCGGGCGAUACGGGCAGACUAGAGUACUGCAGGGGGAGACUGGAAUUCCUGGUGGUAGCGGUGAAAUGCGCAGAGUAUCAGGAGGAAGACCAGUGGCGAAGGCGAAUCUCUGGACAGUUACUGACACUGAGGCAGCGAAGGCCAGGGGAGCAAACGGG